rnacentral:rRNA from 1 species
CCUACGGGUGGCAGCAGUGAGGAAUAUUGGUCAAUGGACGCAAGUCUGAACCAGCCAUGCCGCGUGCAGGAAGACGGCUCUAUGAGUUGUAAACUGCUUUUGUACGAGGGUAAAGGCAGAGAGGCGUGCCUGUCUGAAAGUAUCGUACGAAUAAGGAUCGGCUAACUCCGUGCCAGCAGCCGCGGUAAUACGGAGGGGUCAAGCGUUAUCCGGAUUUACUGGGGUUAAAGGGUGCGUAGGCGGUCGGAUAAGUUGGAGGUGAAAUCCCGAGGCUCAACUUCGGAAUUGCCUGUGAAACUGUUCGGCUAGAGUGUGGUUGCGGUAGGCGGAAUGCAUGGUGUAGCGGU